UCAGCUUAUUGCUCUUCUUGUUUUACGCCAUACCCUUCCCAUUAUACUCAGUGGAGCUGGGGAAUAUUCAUUGACUCUCUAUAUGUUACUGGUCAUUAGAACAAUUGCAAUACUUCUACCUGUAUGUAUAAUGGUUAAGGCAUUUACCAUUAUCCAACGGCGACGAUACCAGGAUCAUUACGCCUCUAUUCUGCAACAUGAGGAGAGUGAGCUGGAACAGCCUCAGUCUCGUGUCAUUCAUAUCUUGUGAUCAGACAAGAUUCUGUUAUUAUCAACCUUGGAUGAAGAUUUCACUAUGAUGAGAAGAUGCGGAUGGUACGGACCAACACGGUGAAGUAGACUCCUCGAUCAACGUUUAUGUGUUGAGAUGAACAAGAUGGUCACUUGAAGAUUGGUUAUUUAAGAUUCCAUGAUUCCGGUGGCGAAGAAGGCACAUAAAUUGAUGCAACUAGAAACAACUGUUGUACAUAGAUAGUUCUUUGGUGGUGGAAAUAGAUAUAAUGGGUGGGGCUGGAACUUGGAAAGAUAUAACAAAGUAAUAUGAUAAUAUACUUAAUAGUUGUUAAAAAUAUAUAAAAUGUCUUAUUGCAUGCUUAUUUUCAUUCAA